UACGAAGGGGGCUAGCGUUGCUCGGAAUCACUGGGCGUAAAGCGCACGUAGGCGGAUUUUUAAGUCAGGGGUGAAAUCCUGGAGCUCAACUCCAGAACUGCCUUUGAUACUGGGAAUCUCGAGUCCGGGAGAGGUGAGUGGAACUCCGAGUGUAGAGGUGAAAUUCGUAGAUAUUCGGAAGAACACCAGUGGCGAAGGCGGCUCACUGGCCCGGUACUGACGCUGAGGUGCGAAAGCGUGGGGAGCAAACAGG
rnacentral:rRNA from 1 species